ACUACGGGUGGCAGCAGUGGGGAAUAUUGGGCAAUGGGCGAAAGCCUGACCCAGCAACGCCGCGUGAAGGAAGAAGGCUUUCGGGUUGUAAACUUCUUUUGACAGGGAAGAGCAGAAGACGGUACCUGUCGAAUAAGCCACGGCUAACUACGUGCCAGCAGCCGCGGUAAUACGUAGGUGGCAAGCGUUGUCCGGAUUUAUUGGGUGUAAAGGGCGUGAAGCCGGGGUGACAAGUCAGAUGUGAAAUCCGGGGGCUCAACCCGCGAACUGCAUUUGAAACUGUUUGUCUUGAGUGUCGGAGAGGCAGGCGGAAUUCCUAGUGUAGCGGUGAAAUGCGUAGAUAUUAGGAGGAACACCAGUGGCGAAGGCGGCCUGCUGGACGACAACUGACGGUGAGGCGCGAAAGCGUGGGGAGCAAACAGGAUUAGAUACCCCUGUAGUC
rnacentral:rRNA from 1 species